AUGCCGCGACGACAACAACCUCCUCGGUCCCUCGCCCCUCGCCGGCGCCGGCGCGCUCAUCCUCUCCCACGCCGCGAUUGCCGACCUAACCUCCUCCCGCCUCCUCCUCCUUCCUCUGGACGACUGGAACUCACCCAUCCUAAGCUCUGCGCGUACGUUUACAUCCACAUGCUCUGCUCCGCCGUGAGCCAGGACGACCGCACCUUCCCCUUCGUCCUCCACGCCGCCGCUGAGGCGCACGCAGCCAAGGGUCAAGCAGUCAAGCUCCACGCCGCCGCGCUCAGAAGCGGCCACCUUACGGACGUGUUCGCGGGCAACACGCUGCGCCUCUUUCUAUGCGGCCACCUCACGGACGUGACGCGCGCGGGGUGUUUGAUGAAAUGCCAGUCCCGGAUGUUGUCCGUAGUCUCGGCGUUCUUGGCCAACAAGAUGCUAGAUGAUGUGAGGCAGGCAUUGGUUAGUAUGACGGAGAGCGGGCAGCGGGGUCCCUGUGAAUGUGGCAAGCUUGGUCUCGGUUAUGCCUGCCUUAUAAGUAGCUGUGUACAUACUACAGUGGCUACAAGCUUUUCUUGUAGGGGAUCAGAUGGUUAG
rnacentral:rRNA from 1 species